GGCCCUGGAAAGGCUUGUAUUGUAAGGGUCCAAAAAAUGGCUGAAGGAAGACCCCAGACUCAGAUAGGGCAGAAACCAAGACUUUAUUCUGCAGAAACAACCAGCAUUCAGAGGUCAACCAUUCUCCAAAACGGUGACCCCAGACAAAGGCACACAGGCCUUCCUACAGGGAACCCAGAGGAAUUCUCUAGAGGGACUAGGUCUGCCCGCCCGCGUCCUCGCCUCUGAGGGCCUGAGUCACCACGCUGUGCGUCACCCGCGCCUCUGCUCCGCGACCUGCAAACUCACCCUGAGUCAGCGACCCGACGCGUCCAUUAAGCGCAUCGCGAGGGGGCGGCGGGGCGCCUCAGCGGGCAGCGGGCAGCUAGAACAGCGUGGGACGUGGGGCUCUGGUCGAGCGGAGCGGGGGCCGAUACAUCACAGCGUGAGCCGAGCCACUCGGUGGGGGCAAGCGCAGAACCGUCGCCCCCCCGCGGCCGCACGAUGGUACAGCCCGGCCGGGUAAAGAGGCCGGGUGGCGCUGUCCGCCAAGGAAGCAAUAUGGGGCUACGCGCGGGUGGAGCUCUCCGGAGGGCGAGUGCGGGGCCUGGGGCGCCCGACGGUCAGGGACCCAGUGGCGCGCAAGGAGGCAGCAUCCACUCUGGCUGCAUCGACACUGUGCACAACGUGCCAAUCGCCGUGCUCAUCCGGCCGCUGCCGUCGGUGCUGGACCCGGUCAAGGUGCAGAGCCUCGUGGACACGAUCCUGGAGGACCCUGACAGUGUGCCCCCCAUCGACGUCCUCUGGAUCAAAGGGGCCCAAGGCGGUGACUACUACUACUCCUUUGGGGGCUGCCACCGCUAUGCAGCCUACCAGCAGCUACAGAGAGAGACCAUUCCUGCCAAGCUCGUGAGGUCUACCCUUUCAGACCUGAGGAUGUACCUGGGUGCAUCCACACCAGACUUGCAGUAGCAACCUCCUGAUACCCCACUCCCGCCUUUUCCACACCAGCACCACUUCCUGGUGCUCAGAAGACACCUGCAGGCCCCCGUGGGCAGACGUUAUAGAAGGAAUAUGUUCUUUUCCUACUUAAGGAGGGGUGUCUGCCUCUUGGUGCCUCUGCACUAGCCCCCAGGGACUAGCUCCCAAGAAUGAGGGGGUUCCGUUCUUCAGUCUAUGAAAAGAUAACACGGCCUUGACCCUGAUGGAGUACCAAGAGGAGGAAGUAAGAAAGAUGGACUCGGAGACAAGGACUCUCCAUUUUACUCUUUAUGAUAUCUUAUCACUACAUGAACUAGGUACUAGGAAGUGAAGGAAAACCUAGGUCACCGUGGCUUAAGUGAGAGACGCUUGUUAUCCGCAUAGCCUGAACCCUGGAGCAGGUGACUAACACAGUAUUAUAUCUAACGGAGUGCCGUAUCAAUGCUCAGUGAGGGCGGGGCCUCCUCUCAGUAAUCUCAUUGCUCCUUGCUUCGUAGUCACAAGAUGGCUGCUGUGUUUCUAGAAAUCAUGUCUGUUGAGAAAGAACCCCGAUAGACCAACUUCUGUCAGAAAGGAAAACCUCGUUCAGAGGUUUGCACAGUCGCCUUGGUCUGAGCUGGCGACCAUCGCCACUCACAGUUGCAAAGAAAGCAGACAUUAGGAAACGUUAUCACAGCUGAGCGUGGCUGCCUUGUUCAUUCCCUGGAAUCCUGGAACAGGCCCUUUGCUCCCUGCAACACAAUUGGGGAUCCCAUUGGCAGGAGAGGGAGGUAGCCUUUGCUACGAAACAAGCCAUCCCCAGACUCAACAGCUAACCAAGUAUUCACGUACCCGUGAUUCUGUGGGUUAGCUAAGCUCCUUUGAGCAGCUCUACUAGUGUGGCCUGGUCCUGCUCAUGAGCCCAGUCACUUCUCACUUCAGCUGGGGCUGGUUAGGCUGGGGUCACCCAGCCAUUGUAGCAAGUGUUGGUUGCAUCGGCUUGGUUAACCUUGUUGCCCCUCUAGCAGGUCAGAGCAGGCUUAUUUUCAUGAUGGCCUCAGGGUUCCAAGGGAGAGUAGUAGUGACUGAGCAGGACCUGGGGCGGUGGCUCGGCUGUUAAGAGCACUUACGUGGUGUUAUGACACAGUCAUCCCUGUUCCAGAUGACCUGAUACCCUCUUCUAGCCUCUGUGGACACAGACAUUACACAUGUGAGAAAAGCACUUUUUUCUUUUUUCUUUUUGAGACACUGGGUUUUUCUGUGUAGCUCUGGCUAUCCUGGAACUCACUCUACAGAACCAGGCUAGCCUUGAACUCAGAGAUCUGCCUCUACCACCUCCUAAGUGCGGGUGUACUACUGUUACCCAGGGACAUUUUUUUUUUCAGAGCUGACUGAACCCAGGGCCUUGUGCUUGCUAGGCAAGCGCUCUACCACUAAGCUAAAUCCCCAACCCCUGACUUUUUUUUUUUAAAAGGUGACAAGGUUUCUUCAGCCCCGGUGCUAGGACUGUGUCUCCACUGGUCAGUUCAUUCCUUAGAUUUCAGGGGUGCAAGUGGACCCAGCUCUCAAUGGGAGGAACUAUAAAGAACGUGGGGCCAUCUUUCAUCACAGAUGAAUCUUGGUGGACAAGAGACAGAAUUUCUCACUCCCACACAUAAGCACUCCCGUUCACAAGUUUAUUGAUAAGCACACAGAGGGGCCAAGUCAGCCUUUAAGUAAGGUUCUUAAAACCUAGAAGAAGUCGUGGCACGGUGCCUUCUAGAGCUGGGUACCCCACUCCAAGGAUGAUUCAUAAGCAGAAUGAGGUGGAUAACGGGGCAUUCAGAGGGGCUUCCGCAAACCCAGAGUCCACAAGGCAACGGAAGCAGCAGGGUGAGGUGGCACUUGCUACGCUUGUCAUUUUCAAGCCUCUGUCUUCCCAGCUCAAUAGUGAGGUCACCAGCUUCCCCACCCACUGAGUGUCCCAGAGAAUGAGAUUGAAAGGAAUAAAGUGUAUUGUGGUGCUGGAUUGAUUCUUAGGACCAAACAGAGACCAGGGAGAGAAAGCACUUUAGCAGGUCAACCAGGACUCAUACUGUCUGGGUCUUAGUUACCUUCCAGUUUGUAAUCAUAUCUCUGGGGUGGGCUGGAUGAAGAUAUAUGGGAACCCUUUGGUCUCUGCAACUUUUCUGUGAAUCUAAAGUCAUUCUAAAAUAAAAGUUUAUUUAAUUAAAACACACACACAAUGCAA
rnacentral:lncRNA from 1 species